AUUGAACGCUGGCGGCAGGCUUAACACAUGCAAGUCGAGCGGGGUGAUGGUGCUUGCACUAUCACUUAGCGGCGGACGGGUGAGUAAUGCUUAGGAAUCUGCCUAUUAGUGGGGGACAACAUCUCGAAAGGGAUGCUAAUACCGCAUACGUCCUACGGGAGAAAGCAGGGGAUCACUUGUGACCUUGCGCUAAUAGAUGAGCCUAAGUCGGAUUAGCUAGUUGGUGGGUUAAAGGCCUACCAAGGCGACGAUCUGUAGCGUGUCUGCGAGGAUGAGUCGCCACACUGGGACUGAGGCCCGGCCCAGGCUCCGACGGGAGCUAGCAGUGGGGAAUAUUGGCCAAUGGGGGGAACCCUGAUCCAGCCAUGCCGCGUGUGUGAAGAAGGCCUUAUGGUUGUAAAGCACUUUAAGCGAGGAGGAGGCUCUUUUGGUUAAUACCCAAGAUGAGUGGACGUUACUCGCAGAAUAAGCACCGGCUAACUCUGUGCCAGCAGCCGCCGUAA
rnacentral:rRNA from 1 species